AGCGUGGGGAGCAAACAGGAUUAGAUACCCUGGUAGUCCACGCCCUAUACGAUGUUUUCUAGUUGUCGGGUGUUAUUUGACUUGGUAACGCAGCUAACGCGUGAAGUAGUCCGCCUGGGGAGUACGGUCGCAAGAUUAAAACUCAAAGGAAUUGACGGGGACCCGCCCAAGCGGUGGAUGAUGUGGAUUAAUUCGAUGCAACGCGAAAAACCUUACCUACCCUUGACAUGGCUGGAAUCCCCGAGAGAUUGGGGAGUGCUCGAAAGAGAACCAGUACACAGGUGCUGCAUGGCUGUCGUCAGCUCCUGUCCUGAGAUGUUGGGUUAAGUCCCGCAACGAGCGCAACCCUUGUCAUUAGUUGAUAAGAAAGGGCACUCUAAUGAGAAAUCCGGCGACAAACCGGAGGAAGGGGGGGAUGACGUCAAGUCCUCAUGGCCCUUAUGGGUAGGGCUUCCCACCUCAUACAAUGGUACAUCCAGAGCGCCGCCAACCCGCGAGGGGGAGCUAAUCGCAGAAAGUGUAUCGUAGUCCGGAUUGUAGUUUGCAACUCCCCUGCAUGAAGUUGGAAUCGCUAGUAAUCGCGGAUCAGCAUGUCGCGGGGUCCCGUUCCCGGGUCUUGUACACACCACCCGUCACCCCAUGGGACCGGG
rnacentral:rRNA from 1 species